AACCACUGGGUAGGAACUUCUGCCGAUAGCUGGCCUGGGUACAGAGGAGCCACCACAAUGACCUCAGACUGCCCAAGUGCCACCACAAAGCCAGUGAAACGUCAUCAGACACUCACCAGCCUCUGAAGCACUUCUGUGAGGAAUUAAGUCCUCAUGCCAACAGCCAAUGGAACAUAAAAUUCUCCUUCUAAAAUGCACUGCUGUGACAAAUCAUGAGAGCAGUUUCUCCUGGCCCUGCUGGAUUCUCCAGAUAGCGACAGCCCAUGGAGACUCUCAACGGCAGCCUCCAUAAACUCUUUAAAUCAGAGCUACCUUUCCAUGGCACCUCCCGGCAACAGAAGUCAGGUAAUGACUGAGGCUAACUGCUGUGAACCUCUAAAUGUUGGGCCAUUUUUAAUGGAGCAACUGACAACUAAAGACCUCCAUAGAAACUUCA